GAAAUCUGAAGUAUAUUUUGAAGUUGAGUAUUAGAAGAUAUUCUUGGUACCAAAGAGAUCACUCUGAAAAGCAACAAGGACUCAGUGAAGAAAAUGACAUACCUUAUCAAAGAAAAUAUUAGAUGAGUGCAGCAUGAUGGACUUGGUGAAUCUAAAAUAUAUCCAGUGAAGAAAACUAUGAAGGGGUUUGCUAGCAAAGUAACACAA